GUCACUACAAAGGCCAAUGGGCGGAAGACUGAAGCAGCAUGUUAGGUUGUGAGCAGUAAAGCAUGUGGGAGGGUGUUCCUGUCCACAGUGUAUGAUGAAUGUAUGAUCACCUUGGUGUCAAGUAUUUGAGAAGGGGUGUAUCUGGCUUAGAAAACAGAGAAACACGAACCUACAGAAUGCUUAUACAACAGUCAUUAAAGGACUGCUGGAGAGAAUGCGGAAUGACGGAGUCUCUAUCUCAUAUUUUCUGGAAAUGCCCUCUCCUAUCAAGAUUGAAG